UCCACAACAAGUGAAUGUGGUGAGAAACAUCAUCAGAAGAAGCAGCCGCGGCAUUUAAGUAGUCGCUCCCGUUAAGCAGCAAGCCAACAGAAUAUCUGCUGUGAAACAGAAAUGUCUGAACAAGGUAAACGAAACACUGAAAACGAGGAUUCUAUUGUCCAUGUGUAUGACAACUCGUCAUUCCAAAAAGAAGAAGAAAAUGAAGUGGAAUUUUCACAAAAUGUCAACAAAAAGAAAAAG